rnacentral:rRNA from 1 species
AGAGUUUGAUCCUGGCUCAGGACGAACGCUGGCGGCGUGCUUCAUACAUGCAAGUCGAACGAGGUCCAUCGAGUCGGCAACACUCGUGAAGACCUAGUGGCGAACGGGUGAGUAACACGUGAGGAACCUGCCCCGAUCUCUGGGAUAACAGUGGGAAACCGCUGCUAAUACCAGAUGUGCUCGGAAGACGACAUCGCCUACCGAGGAAAGCUUUUGCGGACCGGGAGGGCCUCGCGGCCUAUCAGCUAGUUGGUGGGGUAACGGCCUACCAAGGCGUCGACGGGUAGCUGGUCUGAGAGGACGACCAGCACACUGGGACUGAGACACGGCCCAGACUCCUACGGGAGGCAGCAGUAGGGAAUCUUGCGCAAUGGGCGAAAGCCUGACGCAGCAACGCCGCGUGGAGGAUGAAGGCCCUCGGGUUGUAAACCCCUUUCAGCAGGAACGAAAAUGACGGUACCUGCAGAAGAAGGUCCGGCCAACUACGUGCCAGCAGCCGCGGUA